CCAAGGAAGAUGUUCUUGCAAUUCCAUAAGACCAACCCACCUCAACCCACCUCCACAGCAAGUUCAUCAAUAUUCAGUUUGUGUUAGUAUAAAUGUUGCUGAAAGAAAGAUCAGAGAAAUUCUGCAAACUCACACUACUGAGACAGAAGCUGUUCAGUCAACUGGACACCAAACUCAGGAUGCCGUACAUCACAGAUAUUGAUGUUUCCAUUUAUCCUCAUCAGGAGCAAGCCCUAACGAACAAAGGUUUCAAAAUAAUCAAUGUUGAUCUGAACAAAGGCACUAGCGGAAACCAUAUUUACCUCUGGUACAAGGAGGGCAGCAGCAAUCCCAUCACCAGAUUGCAGGUUACAUUCAAAGAUGACAUGCAAAAUGGUUUGAGGAAUGCAGGUUACCGUAAGGUGGAUAGAGACCUCAACGCUGGGGCUGGAGGAGAUGAAAUCUUUCUCUGGUACUACAAAGGUACAACUGAGUAUGACAACCCUAUAGUGGAUCUUAAGGUCACCUCAAAUGCAACAGAUGAAGCCCAAUAUUACCAGAAUGGCUGGGAACGACUGACGUGUGACCUGAAUCGCGAAGCUAAAGGCAAGUUGAUCCGUGUUUGGGUGAAGAAAGAAAAGAAAAUGUACAUCUCUGACAUCAAGGCAACUACCACUUUUGCAUUUGAUCACGAGUAUUUUUCCCAGGGCUACACCCGUGUGGAUGAAGAUGUGAAUCGAGCUGCAGGAGAAGCCUUUGUCUUUCUUUGGUAUCGUCAGUCCCAAACAUAUUACCAAACCAUCAAUCUCCUGGAUGUCUCCACUAACCGCGAGGAAGAGGAAAGCCUUCAGAUACAGGGUUAUACCGCUGUUGGUGUUAAUCUCAAUGAAGGAACACGAGGCCCCCGGAUAAAUGCCUGGUACAAGAAGGGUUCAGACCGUCCCAUCCAGACCUUCACUGUAAUAUUUCAACAUGAAAUGAGUCCUUAUGCGCAGGCUGGCAUCCAAGUCAUUGAAAAAAAUCUGAAUACAGGCAACAAAGGCACCCCCUUGUACCUGGCAUACCAAUGAGAUCAGGGGUUUCAUUUUCUGUAUUCCAUGUGCUCAGUAUACCUGUCAAAUUAGCGUAGCAUCACAUAGCUUAGAACAAGAUAGCACAACAACACAAAUACCAUGUAACAUGUUAAAGAAAACCUGUGGAUCAAGUCAGUUUAACACAGUCUUCAUGCAUUUUUUACAUUUAAUCUUCUAAUCAGAUUGUAUUUGAGAUAUCUAUAUUGUUGUUGUUGUUACUCCUUAUGCCUUUUGUGAUAUGGGUCAACA
ensembl:lncRNA